AUGCUAACUUUGUCAGCACAUAGGCUAAAAUUGGAAUGAUACAGAAAAGAUGCAGGAAUCUUGCACAGGCAUGACAUGCAAAUUCAUGAAGCAUUCCAUAGUUCU
rnacentral:snRNA from 1 species